rnacentral:rRNA from 1 species
UACGGGGGGGGCAAGCGUUGUUCGGAAUUACUGGGCGUAAAGGGCUCGUAGGUGGCCAACUAAGUCAGACGUGAAAUCCCUCGGCUUAACCGGGGAACUGCGUCUGAUACUGGAUGGCUUGAGAUUGGGAGAGGGAUGCGGAAUUCCUGGUGUAGCGGUGAAAUGCGCAGAUAUCAGGAGGAACACCAAUUGCGAAGGCAGCUCGCUGGGACGUUACUGACGCUGAGACGCGAAAGCGUGGGGAGCAAACAGG